UCUAAAAAAUAAAUACCUAUAUGGAAGGUAUUUCUGAUACCCUGAAUUCCUGAUAUCCCUAUCCCUUCGCAAAAGAUAUUACAACUUAACCUGGCUAACCAAACUCGCUGAAUUGAGAGACUAUAUGAAUAUUUUUAAUUGGAUAUAAACAUUCAAUUGAAAAUUGCCUAUGUUUAUUUAAACAACAAAAAGCAGAGUAGAAUAAUACAAUUCUUGAUCAUAAUGAGGAAAAUUUUAUUAUAAUAAAUACUCGUUAUUGCAUUCUUCUUUGUUGUAAAACGAAGAACCAGGCGGCGGCUAUUUUUGCAGUAUUUACCUAUAACACAGAAUCCUUAUAAAGGUUUAGGUGUGUCAAUAAUUAUGCUAUAUUUUAAUACACGGAUUAAUCGUUGAAGGAGUUGCAAGAGAAUUUGGUAAAAUACACGAGACCAACGCGGGCGGGAGCUCGUUUAAAAUAAAAUAUUAUAUAUUGGGGAAUUAUGAUUUUGUUAAACCUGCCUAAUUAAUUUAAUAAAUAUUAUUGAACAUA